rnacentral:rRNA from 1 species
UGAGCAACCUGCCCCUGACUCUGGGAUAACUCCGGGAAACCGGGGCUAAUACCGGAUACUCCGAUCGGACGACAUCGUCUGACCGGGAAAGCUCCGACGGUCUGGGAUGGCCCGCGGCCUAUCAGCUUGUUGGCGAGGUAACGGCUCACCAAGGCGACGACGGGUAGCUGGUCUGAGAGGACGACCAGCCACACUGGAACUGAGAUACGGUCCAGACUCCUACGGGAG